rnacentral:rRNA from 1 species
AUGGAUGUGGGGUGGAGGAAGAGGGCGGAGGCGGUGAUGGAUUUGGGGAGUAGGAAGAAUUGGGGGGUGUAUACGGGCAUAUUCAUUGUGCUCAUGCUCGUCAUACCCGCUAUCCCGCAUGAUGAGGACUAUCAUGACUUUGCCGACCAACGCACACUUUUCCUUGGGAUCCCUAAUACGCUGAAUGUGAUCUCAAUAAUUCCCUUCAUUUUUGUUGGUCUUGCCGGGCUUAUCCUUAACCACUGCGAAAGCUCACAGAGGGGUCUCUACACAAUCUUCUUUGCUGGUGUCAGUGUUGUUGGUUUUGGUUCAUUCUUUUACCAUCUCAACCCGAAAAAUGACUCACUAUUUUGGGACACAUUGCCAAUGAUGGUCACUUUCACAUCUUUCGAGGCCAUUUUCAUUAUCGAAAGGUUUGAUGAUUUGGCAGGAACAAAGUCGUUUGCAUCAACGAGCUACUGGCUAUGUGCAGCAGGAUUUUACGUUCUUGCAAGAGUACAAGAGGUUGCAGACAAACCAAUUUAUACGUGGACACUUCAUAUUGUCAGUGGGCAUACUCUUGGUCAUUUAUGUGCUGCAAUGGUGCCUCUUUUUUAUAUUCUCUUGUUAGAGAAAAGGACAAGGCCAAUUCAACCAGAAAGGCACAUGAUUCUAGUGCAUCAUCAAUUAAAGCUUGCUUUCAUGGUCUGCUUAUUGGUGCCCAAGAUGAUCUGCCUAUGGAUGCCCAAGUUACAGGUUAGUGCCAUAAUGUAUGAAAUCAGCAUUUUGAUGUGGGAGUUCAGUGCUCGUUAUGUGGCUAAUCAGGCAAAGACCUCUGAAGAGCGAGGAAUGUUAGAAACCCCAAUUCGUGCUCGGCAAAUAGUGCCUCGUGUUCGCGGCCUUUAUGGGAUGGACAUUUAUAAGAAUAAGGUCUUAGAAUUCUUACAAAGUGAACGAUCUGAUGAGUCUAUAUUUGGAUUAUGGGGCACGUCGGGUGUUGGCAAGACACGGCUUCUUUCACUCAUCGCUGAUAGCUUUGCCGAUUCAUUUCAUCACGUCAUAUUUCUUGAUGGUGGUAGUAGCGUCAGAGUUAUGCAAAAUCAUUUCGCAUACUUUUUGAAAUUGGAUUGGGAGACAAUCUCAUUGUUGGAGGAGCAUUACCGAGCUAAAAUCAUCAUGGAGUACCUAGAGCAUGUCAGUUUUUUGGUUCUGUUAGACGAUGUGCAAGAUGAAGUCUACCCAGAUUUGACAGCUGUUGGUUUGCCGAUGGCUCUUGGGCAUAGGCAAAAGGUUAUUCUUACGUCGAGGAGUCAGGUAGCAUGUGCUCGCAUGGGAUGCACCAUAUCAAACACUCUGGAGAUGAAGUGUCUCGGGGAUGAAGAUGCUUGGAGUCUUUUCGAGUAUAAUGCGGGAGUAAAAAUCACAGAAGCUGAUACUGAAAUUUAUGAAUAUGCAAAAAAGAUGGUUUCAGCAUGUGGAGGGUUGCCUAGAGCCAUAUGUGCUAUUGGCAUAGGCGUAGCCGGUGCCACUUGCAGGGGAAAACAUCCAGAUGAUUGGUGGUUUACCUACAAGCGUUUCAAGGCUAAAAAUCUGCCACCGGAACGAAUGGAAGAAAUAGUGCCUGUUCUGGUUUAG